GGAAUUAAACUAACAAGUUGCGUCUAGAUAAGAAAUACGAAAAAUAAAAAAGUUGUUGGAGGAUGCUAAGACCAACAACUGACUUGUCAUGAUUCCGUCUCGCCCAAAGUAAUAAUAAUGUCAUCAAGAGGCAAUUUGAAAAUGACACAGGCUAAAAGUGUGGGCCCGGGCAUGCUUAACGCCAAGGCUAAUCCCGUACGCGAAUGGCAGGUACUGUAGCUCCAUGACUCGGCCGGCCCUCUCGAAACCCGCGGAAAAAACUCCCGGCCGUUCGAUCCACUUCACCACGUGACUGAGGAAGAAGAAGAAGAAGCAGCCGUCUCUCUGCCGAGCUUUUUGGAAAUCUAGCAUUAUGAAAAGUGGGCUUCGGAGAUAUACCAUCCCGCAACGGGGCUUCGCCAGUUUACCAUUAUGAAACGCGACACAAUCGCUAGAAUGCCAUUGGAUGGAUUUUGGAGCCUUCUAUUCCCCUUCUACCCCUGCCUUCUUGUAUAUCCUUUCACGGAGCAGCCUCUGGAACGGAACGGCUUAGAAACGGAUCGAGCGUGGGCGUGCUCGGUCCUCUCCGACGCCGAGCUCCCCACGGCCAGCACCCACGACGAGCCCCCACAGCCACCUCCCCCGCGCCUUGGCCGCCUACUCCCCC
rnacentral:lncRNA from 1 species